CCUACGGGAGGCAGCAGUGAGGAAUAUUGGUCAAUGGUCGGGAGACUGAACCAGCCAAGCCGCGUGAGGGAGGAAGGUACAGAGUAUCGUAAACCUCUUUUGUCAGGGAACAAAGGCGGGGACGUGUCCCCGGAUGAGUGUACCUGAAGCAAAAGCAUCGGCUAACUCCGUGCCAGCAGCCGCGGUAAUACGGAGGAUGCGAGCGUUAUCCGGAUUUAUGGGGUUUAAAGGGUGCGCAGGCGGUCUGUUAAGUCAGCGGUCAAAGCCCGGGGCACAACCCCGGCCCGCCGUUGAAACUGGCAGUCUCGAGUUGGAGAGAAGGAUGCGGAAUGCGCGGUGUAGCGGUGAAAUGCAUAGAUAUCGCGCAGAACUCCGAUUGCGAAGGCAGCAUGCCGGCUCCACACUGACGCUGAGGCACGAAAGCGUGGGUAUCGAACAGGAUUAGAUACCCCAGUAGUC
rnacentral:rRNA from 1 species